CAGCGCCACGAGUGGGGAUCACGAUUAUUGGGCCUAAAGCGUCCGUAGCCGGUUUUGUAAAUUCCUUGUGAAAUCGUUGGGCUUAACUCAACGGCUGGCAGGGAACACUGCAAAACUCGGGACCGGGAGGGGCUAGAGGUAUUCUGUGGGGAGCGGUAAAAUGCUAUAAUCCACGGAGGACCACCGAUGGCGAAGGCAUCUAGCCAGAACGGAUCCGACGGUGAGGGACGAAAGCCAGGGGAGCGAACCGGAUUAGAUACCCGAGUAGUCC
rnacentral:rRNA from 1 species